UUGGGCAAAAGACACUGGUGUGUAGAGGUUGUCGCAUGCAAAUCAUUUGCUGUUCCAUUUGAAAAAAAAAUGUAAACACACUGUACGUAAUUACUAUUUUAUAUAACAAUAGGCAUAGACACUAUUGCUUUUAUAUGUACUGGGCUGUAGAUGAAAAUCAAUGAUUUACUCCUCAGCAGAACCCACCAGUGCUGAUUCCUCUUUGCUGCCACUAAGGAGGAAAAUUGAGGAGCUGGCACUUGGAGUAAAACAAAGAAACAAAUCGUCUCUACAGACAGAAUGGUAGGUAUUGUUUACCCCUGGUAAUGUUGUAUGCAUUGCAUUUCCUCACUUCAGAACAUCUGAUAAAUGUAAAGAUGUAAUGAAAUGUUUCAUUGGUGAGAACAAAAUUAAAACUAAUUGUGCUUUCCAUCUUAUGAUCAUGUUUUUCAGACUCAGCACGUAACAUCCUGCGACGUAAAAUUUGGGAUGAAAAGAAAAGUUUGGCAGUCGCAGUGGGAAAAUUUGAUGCCCUUGUCCAGCCAUCAGAACAGCUUUGCUCAGCAGAAGCCAUUCUAAAGGGUGAUUCUGUUUUGCCGUGGGACCUGCCUUCCUCCGAUGGAGUAGACUUCCUGACAAAGAAAAAGCUGUUUGAUAAGGUCAUGCUCAUUCGGAGACUUGCGGAGGAAGAGAUGAUCCUUGUGCAAGAGUCGAAACAACACUGGCAUAAUCUCAAGAAAAGAGAGGAUGGCUUGAAAACCUUACUAGCCAACGUAAAUGCUGAUGUUUUCUCUGUCUGUCUGAAGGGAGCCACCAGAGCCUUGACGGCAACAGUGUUCCAUGGCUCCGCUGUAUCUUGCUGAAGAAAUUGUCUGAUCUACAGUCAGAUCUCCACGUUACAAAAGAUGAGGACUUUGAAUGAUGUCCUGUGUCACAAAGCACUUGAAUUAUUUCUGGACAUUUGUAUAUAUUUGUAUAUUUUGUGAACUGAUGACAAUUUAUGUUUUUGUUUUUACAUAACUGGAGCAUUUUAUCCGAGUAACUGUAUGGUUUUUUGUGUCUCAUGACAAAGUUCUUAAAUCUUGACAGUUGUUAUUCUGUGGCUGUGGUUAUUAUAUUAUGUAUUAUUAAGUAGUAGCAGUAGAAUCAUUGGUUUUAUUAUGACUAUUUAGAAUAAUAUUACACAAGUAGCAUGAUACAUGGUCAUGUGCGCUACUGUGUCCCUUUUCGAUAGGGUUACAGUUUUUUUCAAAAGGUUAGAUUUAAUAUUGGCUUGAUAUUGACUUGUGAUAUUGAUAUAUGCAGGGGCGGUGCGUCAAUACAGGGCGCAAGGGCGCCGCCCCUCCUAAAAUUGAGAUGAAAAAAAAAAAGUAAAAAAA